rnacentral:rRNA from 1 species
GACAGAGGGUGCAAACGUUGUUCGGAAUUACUGGGCGUAAAGCGUGUGUAGGCGGUCUCGUAAGUCGGGUGUGAAAGCCCCGGGCUCAACCCGGGAAGUGCACUCGAAACUGCGAGGCUAGAGUACUGGAGAGGUUGGUGGAAUUCUCGGUGUAGAGGUGAAAUUCGUAGAUAUCGAGAGGAACACCGGUGGCGAAGGCGGCCAACUGGACAGAUACUGACGCUGAGACGCGACAGCGUGGGGAGCAAACAGG